rnacentral:misc_RNA from 1 species
GAUGAAGAACGCAGUGAAAUGCGAUAAGUAGUGUGAAUUGCAGAAUUCAGUGAAUCAUCGAAUCUUUGAACGCACAUUGCGCCCUUUGGUAUUCCAAAGGGCAUGCCUGUUCGAGCGUCAUUUGUACCCUCAAGCUUUGCUUGGUGUUGGGCGUCUUGUCUCUAGCUUUGCUGGAGACUCGCCUUAAAGUAAUUGGCAGCCGGCCUACUGGUUUCGGAGCGCAGCACAAGUCGCACUCUCUAUCAGCAAAGGUCUAGCAUCCAUUAAGCCUUUUUUUCAACUUUUGACCUCGGAUCAGGUAGGGAUACCCGCUGAACUUAAGCAUAUAAUAAGCGGAGGA